CAGCCGCCGCGGUAAUACGGAGGGUGCAAGCGUUAAUCGGAAUUACUGGGCGUAAAGCGCACGCAGGCGGUCUGUUAAGUCAGAUGUGAAAUCCCCGGGCUCAACCCGGGAACUGCAUUUGAAACUGGCAGGCUUGAGUCUUGUAGAGGGGGGUAGAAUUCCAGGUGUAGCGGUGAAAUGCGUAGAGAUCUGGAGGAAUACCGGUGGCGAAGGCGGCCCCCUGGACAAAGACUGACGCUCAGGUGCGAAAGCGUGGGGAGCAAACAGGAUUAGAUACCCCGGUAGUCCCUGUCUCUUAUAC
rnacentral:rRNA from 1 species